GACGAACGCUGGCGGCGUGCCUAAUACAUGCAAGUAGAACGCUGAAGGAGGAGCUUGCUUCUCUGGAUGAGUUGCGAACGGGUGAGUAACGCGUAGGUAACCUGCCUGGUAGCGGGGGAUAACUAUUGGAAACGAUAGCUAAUACCGCAUAAUAGUAGAUGUUGCAUGACAUUUGCUUAAAAGGUGCAAUUGCAUCACUACCAGAUGGACCUGCGUUGUAUUAGCUAGUUGGUGAGGUAACGGCUCACCAAGGCGACGAUACAUAGCCGACCUGAGAGGGUGAUCGGCCACACUGGGACUGAGACACGGCCCAGACUCCUACGGGAGGCAGCAGUAGGGAAUCUUCGGCAAUGGACGGAAGUCUGACCGAGCAACGCCGCGUGAGUGAAGAAGGUUUUCGGAUCGUAAAGCUCUGUUGUAAGAGAAGAACGAGUGUGAGAGUGGAAAGUUCACACNGNGACGG
rnacentral:rRNA from 1 species